rnacentral:rRNA from 1 species
UACGUAGGUGGCAAGCGUUGUCCGGAAUUACUGGGUGUAAAGGGAGCGUAGGCGGGAUGUCAAGUCAGAAGUGAAAAUUAUGGGCUCAACUCAUAACCUGCUUUUGAAACUGAUAUUCUUGAGUGAAGUAGAGGCAAGCGGAAUUCCUAGUGUAGCGGUGAAAUGCGUAGAUAUUAGGAGGAACACCAGUGGCGAAGGCGGCUUGCUGGGCUUUUACUGACGCUGAGGCUCGAAAGCGUGGGGAGCAAACAGG